GACAGAGGCCUCGAGCGUUAGGCGGAAUCACUGGGCUUAAAGCGUGUGUAGGCGGGCCCGUAAGCGUCUUGUGAAAUCCCACGGCUCAACCGUGGACUGCUGGCAUACUGCGGGUCUUGGGCCAACUAGGGGCAGCCGGAACAAGCGGUGGAGCGGUGAAAUGCGUAGAUAUCGCUGGAACGCCGAAGGUGAAAACAGGCUG
rnacentral:rRNA from 1 species